rnacentral:rRNA from 1 species
UACGGGGGGGGCAAGCGUUGUUCGGAAUUACUGGGCGUAAAGGGCUCGUAGGCGGCCAACUAAGUCAUACGUGAAAUCCCUCGGCUUAACCGGGGAACUGCGUCUGAUACUGGAUGGCUUGGGUUCGGGAGAGGGAUGCGGAAUUCCAGGUGUAGCGGUGAAAUGCGUAGAGAUCGGGAGGAACACCAGUGGCGAAGGCGGCUACCUGGACCAGCACUGACACUGAAGCACGAAAGCGUGGGGAGCAAACAGG